rnacentral:lncRNA from 1 species
AGGUUCCCAGGCUAGGGGUUGAAUUGGAGCUGCAGCCACCGGCCUAUGCCAGAGCCCCAGCAAUGCGGGAUCCCAGCCGCAUCUGCAACCUACACCACAGCUCAUGGCAAUUCCGGAUCCCCAACCCACUGAGCAAGGCCAGGGAUCGAAGGUACAACCUCAUCGUUCCUAGUCGGAUUCAUUAACCACUGAGCCACUGUGGGAACUCCCUGUAUGUCUUUUUUGGUACCAGUAUCACACUAUCUUGAUGACUGUAGCUUUGUAAUAUUGCCUGAAGUCUGGGAGAAUUAUGCCUCCUGCUUGGUUUUGUGGUUCCAUAUAAAUUUUUGGAUUGUUUGUUUUAGUUCUGUGAAAAAUGUCAUAGGUAACUUGAUAGGGAUGGCAUUGAAUCUGUAGAUUGCUUUGGGUAGUAUGGCCAUUUCUACAAUAUUAAUUUUUCCAACCCAGGAGCAUGGAAUACCUUUCCAUUUCUUUGCAUCCUCUUUAAUUUCCUUGAUGAAUAUGUUAUAGUUCUCAGCAUAUAAAUCUUUUGCCUCCUUGGUCAAGUGUAUUCCCAGGUAUUUGAUUUAUUUGGAUGCAAUUUUAAAAGGUGUUGAAUUUUUGUGUUCCUUUUCUAAUAUUUCAUUGUUAGCAUACAGAAAUGCGACGGAUUUCUGAGUGUUAAUCUUAUAUCCUGCUACUUUGCUGAAGUUUAUUUAUUGAUCACUUCCAUUAGUUUUUGCGUUGAGUCUUUAGGGUUUUCUAUAUAUAGUAUCAUGUCAUCUGCAUACACUGACAGUUUUACCACUUCUCUUCCGAUUUAGAUACCUUUUAUUUCUUUUGUAUGUCUGAUUGCUGUGGCUAGGACUUCCAUACUAUGUUGAAUAACAGUGGUGAGAGUGGGCAUCCCUGUCUUGUUCCAGAUUUUAGCGGAAAGGCUUUCAGCUUUUCUCCAUUGAGUAUUAUAUUUGCUGAGGGUUUGUCACUGAUGGCUAUGAUUAUGUUAAAGUAUGUUCCCUCUAUACCCACUUUGGUAAGAGUUUUUUUUUUUUUUUUAUCAUGAAUGGAUGUUGAACUUUGUCAAAUGCUUUUUCUGCAUCUAUUGAGAAGAUCAUGUGGUUUUUGACUUUUCUUUUGUUAAUGUGGUGUAUGACGUUGAUUGAUUUGCAUAUGUUGAACUAUCUUUGUGAACCUGGGUUGAAUCCCACCUGGUCAUGGUGUAUGAUCUUUUUUAUAUAUUGUUGGAUUCAGCUAAAAUUUUGUUGAGAAUUUUUGCAUCUAUAUUCAUCAAAGAUUUUGGCCUAUAAUUUUGUUUUUUGAUAGUAUCUAUGUCUGGUUUUGGUAUUAGGGUGAUGGUGGCAUCAUAGAAUGUCUUUGGGAGUGUUCCUUCUCCUUUAGUCUUUUGGAAAAGUUUAAGGAGGGUGGGUAUAAGUUCUUUUUAGUUUGGUAGAAUUCACCUGUGAAGCCAUCUGGUCCUGGACUUGUAUUUGUAAGGAGUGUUUUUAUGACAUAUUCAAUUUUAUUUCUAGUGAUCGGUUUGUUCAGUUGAUCUAUUUCUUCUUGAUUCAGUUCUGGCAGGCUGUAAGUCUCUAGAAAGAUAGCCACUUCUUCUAGCUUGUCAAAUUUGUUGGCAGACAAUUGUUCAUAGUAUUCUCAUACAGUUUUUUCUAUUUCUGCAGUACCUGUUGUGAUUUCUCCUUUUUCAUUUAUUAUUUUGUUUAUCUGGGUUUUUUCUCUCCUCUUCUUGCUGAAUCUGGCCAGAGGUUUGUCAAUUUUGUUUACCUUUUCAAAGAAACAGCUUUGGUUUUAUUGACUUUUUUCUAUUGUUUUUUUUAAUCUAUAUUUUAUUGAUUUUAUCUCUGAUCUUUAUGAUUUCCUUACUUCUGCUCACUUUAGAUUUUGUUUUUUCUUUUUCUGUUUCAUUUAGGUGUUGGUUAAGUUAUCAAUUUGAGAUUUUUCUUCUUUUUUGAGGAAGGCCUGUGUCACUAUGAAUUACCCUCUGAUCAUUGCUUUUGUGGCAUCCCAUAGAUUUUGAGUGGUUGUGGCUUCAUUAUAAUUUGUCUUGAGGUAUUUUUUAAAUUUCCUCCUUGAUUUCCUCAUUGACAUAGUGGUUUUUUUAGUAGCAUGUUGUUUAGUCUCCAUGUAGUCAGUUUUUUCUCAUUUCUUUUCCUUGGCUGAUUUCUAGUUGCAUGCCAUUGUGGUCAGAGAAGAUACUUGAAAUAAUUUCUAUACUCUUAAAUUUGUUGAGGUUAGCUUUGUGCCCAGUAUGUGAUUGAUCUUUGUGAAUGUUCCAUGUGCACGUGAGAAGAAUGUAUAUUCUGAUUUUUUUUUUUUGGGAUGUAAUGUCCUAAAAUGUCAAUUAAGUAACUUUUUUAUGUCAUUUAGUAUCUCUGUUGCCUUAUUGAUUUUUCUGUUUAGAGGAUCUGUCCCUUGGUGUGAGUGGGUGUUAAAAUCUCCUACUCUGAUUGUGUUCCCAUUGAUUUCUCCUUUUAUGUCUGUUAGUAUUUGUCGUAGGUAUUGGGGUGCUCCUAUAUUACAGGCAUCUAUAUUGAUGAUGGUAAUAUCCUUCUUGAAUGGAUCCUUUUACUGUUGAAUAGUGUCCUUCUUUGUCUUUCUUCAUGGCCUUCAUUUUAAAGUCUAUUUUGUAUGAUAUGAGUAUUGCAACUCCUGCUUUCCUGUCUUGUCCAUUGACAUGAAAUGUCUUUUUCCACCCGCUCACUUUCAAUCUAUAUGUGUCCUUUAUCCUAAGGUGAGUCUCUUGCAGACAAUAGAUUGUAGAUUUUUGCUUUUGUAUCCAAUUUGCCAUUCUGUGUCUUUUGAUUGGAAAAUUCAGUCCAUUGACAUUUAAAGUGAUUAUUGAUAGACAUGUCUUUAUUGCCAUUUUAAACCUUGUUUUCCAGUUGAUUCUAUGUUUCUCUUUUCUUCCUUUUUUUUUUUUUGGUUGGGUGGUUUCCAUUUAUUUUAUGCUUGAGUACUUUUCAGUUUUUGUGAAUGUAAUAUUUGGUUUUGAUUUGUGGUUGCCCUGUUUUUUAAGUAUGUUAACCCCUUCCUGUAUCUGCUUGCCUUAGCCUGAGAGUCAUAGAGGCUCAAACACAUUAUUUUAUUUUUAUUUAUUUAUUUUUUUUAGCGGGAAUCUCCUUUUAUUUAAGACAGGAAAAUCAGGAGUGUUUUUCUUACAGUUGUGACAGCUCACAAGAAUCAAAGUCCUCCUCAUGUCUAAGAGUCUGCAUAUCCAGAAAAGC